GCUCUCCGGUGAGCGCAGAGUGAACUAUUUUUUCGCCUUUUACUAAAGAAUACCGUGUGCUCGCAACCUAAAGCGGUAUACGUCUAUUUUUUAUGGGCCUUCCUUUAAGAACGGCC